rnacentral:tRNA from 1 species
GAGGGUAUAGCUCAAGGGGUAGAGCGUAUGCUUAGCAUGCAUAAGGCCCUGGAUUCCAUCCCCAGUACCUCCU